UUAAAUAUGGGAUAUAGACGAGUGUGGCUUUUUCUAAGCCUUAGCACGCUUGUAUCCUCUCUAUCAAAGGGCAAAUUGAGUCACGAUUUAGGUCUCCCCGUACCCAUUAUGCAUGAAUUCCCUAGGUUCAUGCAUCCACUCUAUCAUUACACUUUCAUUUUCUCCCCUCAUUUGCACACGUACACCUUUAUCCCUUCACUUGCACACGAACACUUCUCCUCUCAUUUGCACACGUACACCUUUUUAUCCCUUCACUUGCACACAAGCACCUUUAUCCCUUCACUUGCACACGAACACUUCUCCCCUCAUUUGCACACGUACACCUUUUUAUCCCUUCACUUGCACACAAACACUUUUAUCAUCACUUGCACACAUGUACUUCAUAUUAUCAUUUCACACACCGCACCUUGCCCACUCACGUGCACAUUUCCAUUUACACAUUCUUAUCUUUUAUUACUUUUUCAAACUCAUGUCCUCACAUUGCAUACAUGCAUCCCAUUCAUUUGCAUCCCACUCGCAUUAUUCGUGAUUUCUUCAAAGGAUCGUUAUUGGGCUUCACGAUUAAUGUGAUUGGCACCACUCAACCUUUGAAGGGAAAUUUCCCCCAAUACCCCUAGGUCUAGGGUUUGCAUUCAUGUAGU
rnacentral:lncRNA from 1 species